UGUAUUCACUACUGUAAGUUGCUCUGGAUAAUAGCAUCUGCUGAAUGACUAAAA
rfam:Salmo salar isolate Sally breed double haploid chromosome ssa01, whole genome shotgun sequence.